rnacentral:rRNA from 1 species
GACGAACGCUGGCGGCGUGCUUAACACAUGCAAGUCGAACGAUGAAGCCUAGCUUGCUAGGUGGAUUAGUGGCGAACGGGUGAGUAAUACGUGAGUGACCUACCUUUGACUCUGGGAUAAGCCUGGGAAACUGGGUCUAAUACCGGAUACGACCAAUCUCCGCAUGGGGUGUUGGUGGAAAGCGUUAUGGAGUGGUUUUAGAUGGGCUCACGGCCUAUCAGCUUGUUGGUGAGGUAAUGGCUUACCAAGGCGACGACGGGUAGCCGGCCUGAGAGGGUGACCGGCCACACUGGGACUGAGACACGGCCCAGACUCCUACGGGAGGCAGCAGUGGGGAAUAUUGCACAAUGGGCGCAAGCCUGAUGCAGCGACGCCGCGUGAGGGAUGACGGCCUUCGGGUUGUAAACCUCUGUUAGCAUCGAAGAAGCGAAAGUGACGGUAGGUGCAGAGAAAGCGCCGGCUAA